rnacentral:lncRNA from 1 species
UUUUGUAAACGUUAGAUUCUUGGUUUUGUAAUCCACCAUUGGUUUAAAUUAGGUAGGCCUAUAUGCCCAAAAUAGGUCAAAGAGAAUCUUUAGCUAAAACAUUUACAUAAAUUCUAUUUUUUCAAUCAUAUUGUGUGAAAAUAUUUGGAAUCCUCUAAAUUUCUAUUUUCUUACAUGGAGGUAUUUUUUUUCCAUUUUUACACCUAUAAGAUAUAUGUUGAAAUGCUUUAGUUAUUGGAAAUAGGUUGUCUACCUUACAUGUGCAUGUCUUUAUGGCUUUUUG